rnacentral:rRNA from 1 species
AUUGAACGCUGGCGGCAUGCCUUACACAUGCAAGUCGAACGGUAACGGGCCUUCGGGUGCCGACGAGUGGCGAACGGGUGAGUAAUGCAUCGGAACGUACCCAUCAGUGGGGGAUAACUCUCCGAAAGGAGGGCUAAUACCGCAUAUUCUGUGCGCAGGAAAGCGGGGGACCGCAAGGCCUCGCGCUGAUGGAGCGGCCGAUGGCAGAUUAGCUAGUUGGUGGGGUAAAGGCCUACCAAGGCGACGAUCUGUAGCGGGUCUGAGAGGAUGAUCCGCCACGCUGGGACGGAGACACGGCCCAGACUCCUACGGGAGGCAGCAGUGGGGAAUUUUGGACAAUGGGGGCAACCCUGAUCCAGCCAUGCCGCGUGAGUGAAGAAGGCCUUCGGGUUGUAAAGCUCUUUCGGCCGGGAAGAAAUCGCAUCUCCUAAUACGGGGUGUGGAUGACGGUACCGGAAGAAUAAGGACCGGCUAACUACGUGCCAGCCGCCGCCGUAA